rnacentral:ncRNA from 1 species
AGUAAAACGAUGAUGAGAAGAGUAAGCUACAAACUAUUUUCAGAGAGAAAAUACAUUUGCUGUAAGUAUUUUUAAAUAAGAGUAGCCCAAAACCGCCUCUGAGUGGCUCUAAUAAAGCCCGGUAAUUCCGUUAUAAUUAUCUAUAAAGAGAUUUAUUCAUUUUGGAUAAAUAAUCAGGGUGGAACCACGGGAAUUUACAGCUCUCGUCCCUUUU